GCUAGUAGGGUCCCCAACGGAUUAGCAGCGGCGGCGGCAGCAGCGACUGGCGGAAGUGACGCGCUGACUGACAGGAGAGAAUGGACUCCAACUGACUCUUCUGCAGCUAGAUUGGCCAACUGACAGCAGUAAAACCAAAGGAAAUCUGACACCGAACAGGUGGUGAGGGAGAUAGUGGAGGCUCCUCCCGUCAGACAGAUGGGAGAAGCCUAGAUUGCAGGGGAGACCUACCUCCACCCUCAGCUAAGCAGGACUCUUCUUUAGCUCAGCAGCAGUGCCCUGUGUGGCUUUUUUGCCCACCCCACAGAGCAGAAUUCAGCGAGCCCUCUCCCUGCAUAGUCCUAGAAGAACUGUGACUCAAAGUCCCGUAUGAGCCUUCUUACUUGCAAAAAGUGUCCAUUUCCGUGUCGAAGAGAAAAUACCGGUCUUUGAAACUUACCAACACAAUAGGUUUACAACUCUGAAAUCCUUCCGAGUAUUAUUCAUCAUUUGCUUUAAACUAGCAUCUGCAGGCCUCAGCCAGGUUGGAGCCACACGGUGGUAGAUGCCGUGUAGACCUACGACACUCUGUGCUCUGAAGAGCUUACUGAAGAGCUACAGCUGCAGGCUGUAGUCACAGCAUACUGAAGUCUGACACAAAACCAAGCCCCAACCCCAACCUCCCCAGCAUUUCCGCCAUCGUGGUGCCUGCUUGCACAGCUCUUCCCCUGCCUGUGCAGAAGGGAAGGAAUGCCAACCAUGUGGCAGUUUAAUCCCCAUCAAAACCCCUUAGGCGCUGCAGGGUUUGAGGCAGGACUGAAGAGAACCACUCCAUGGUACCAUCCCUUGUACUGCAGCAUGGAAUUCAGGGAGGGAGUCAACGUGGCUUAACUCCUUCUGGGAUUGCAUUCCUCCCCUGGUUGAGGAGGGAGCAGUGCCUAGGAGCUUCCCAUGCAGACAACUCUGCAGAUGUGGUGUUGCCUUUACACAGAGAUCCCCUGGAGGAAGAGCUGGGAGGCCUUGUUCUUUUCCCACUCAAGCGCUCCCACCUCUCCUCCUCCCCAUGGAAGCCACUGGGCAGUAACUA